CCCUAAACGCUCCUCUCUCUUCGACCGUCACCACCACCCCACUCCCCGUCACUUCCGUCACAUCACCUCACCACCACCACCACCACGCCCAUAUCCCACAAAAUCCGCUACCUGCACCACUCUUCUCCUUUCUCACACUCCAUCUCUGAAAGCUUGCAGGCUCCAUGUGCAAUUUCAGCCGAUUUCAGGGUAAGUCCCAUCCCCAUUUUCAUCAUCUCAUCAGUUGAAAACAUUCCCCAGAAUUCCCCCCCCCCCCCCCCUUUUCUUUAUUUUCGAACUUCAAAUUCAAGUUUUAGAAACCCCUCAGUAUUUUUCUAUAAAUACAGACCCUUGUGGGCUGUUUUGAAUAAGUUUUGGAGGUGUAGAAAAUCCCUUUAAGUUGACAAGGUUCAAGUGUUGGAAAUUCCUCUUGAAUAACCCCAAAAAAAAAUGUCAUCCGUUUUUCUUAAAAAAAAAUAAAAAAAUCUCUCAUUUAUCUUUAAGUUUGUUUUUGUCGAAUUCUUGGUUGGUUCUCGGCUAAACAAGCUCUUCAAGAGGAUUCGGAGACUCGAGACGACAAAUAGCCUCAGUUCGCUGUCCCGAAGAAGGCAACAAUCAUCCUUUUUAGAUUUUGGAACCUUGGGAGCAUUUGGAGUUAUGGCAACUCCGGAUUCUGCCCAUAUCAGAGAACAGCCAGUUGCAAGAUUUAAUUGCUCGUGUCUAGCGUCCCCGUCUUCCUCCCUCUCUUUAAAUUUCGUGCCUUUCGCGUUAUCAUGUAUAUACAUGUUUAUAUUUUUUACUAACAUUUUUAUGGAUUAUAUUUGUAGCACAUUUGUUUCUUGCUUGUGUAGGAACUUACGGAAAAAUAGUUAAGUAUGAUGGUAAAUUUAGUCAUUACUUUUCCUCUCCCCUUGGAUAAUUAA